AGCUGAGUUGCAGUGAGGUCAAGUCUGGAGAGAGUGUCUGGUGUUCUAAGGAGGCCUGAAGUCUACCACACAGCCAUGGAUCCACAAGUCCACUACCCCCCAGGUCCAAGUCAAAGCCUGCCAUUCUGCAAGUGAUCCCCCAUACAGCGGAAAGCCAAGCCCUGGCGGAGAAAGCAAUUGGACCUUUUCAGAAUCCUAGCAGGCAUGGGAAUCUUCAGUCUCUAUUCUCAGUUCUAGGAUAACAUCAGGCAUGCUGGUCUUCUGUACUCGACAAGCUACCAUAGCAGCUGAAAUUCUGAAGCAAGGCAGCAAGCCAAGCAGAAACUUGGCAUCCAUGUGUUUUGUCUUCUCAGUUCCUUGUCAACGCAGCUCAGACUGCGACUACAAAGAGAAAAGUAAAUGCGGUAACAUACAGGGUCAUACAGGAACAUGUACAGUGCAGACUUUUACCCACACAAUUCAUUUUUGGGGUCUUUGAGUCUUCUGGUCAGUACGGAGAUGCCAUAACUCUUGGUGUCACGCUGCUGGCACAGGGCUGGGUACAGAGUAUAAUAAGAUUUUACAGCACUGACCGUUCAACCGUCUGACUGAAUCAAUUAACUUUCUGUACAACUUUCCACUGUCUGGUGCUAUUG